rnacentral:rRNA from 1 species
CCCUUAGAUGUCCUGGGCUGCACGCGCGCUACACUGAUACAUACAACGUGAUAAUCUUCCUUGCUCGAAGGAGUUGGGUGUUCAUUUAAUAUGUAUCGUGAUGGGGAUAGACUAUUGUAAUUAUUAGUCUUGAACGAGGAAUUCCUAGUAAGUAUACGUCAUUAGCGUAUGCUGAUUACGUCCCUGCCCUUUGUACACACCGCCCGUCGCACCUACCGAUUGAAUGGUCCGGUGAAAUCUCGGGACGGCGGCUUGGUCGCUUGCGUCCGACUGCUGAAACUUGAUUAAACCAUAUCAUUUAGAGGAAGGUGAAGUCGUAACA